UUGUUGCUGGCCCCCGAACGGGGCAUGUGCACGCUCUGUUUACACAUCCACUCACACCUGUGCACCCUCUGUAGUUCUGUGGACCGGGAGACGUCGUCUUCCUUCCGUAGCUCUACGUCUUUACACACACACCGUAGCGAUGUCUCAUGGAAUGUUUUUUCGCGUUUAACGCAAUACAAUACAACUUUCAGCAACGGAUCUCUUGGCUCUCGCAUCGAUGAAGAACGCAGCGAAAUGCGAUAAGUAAUGUGAAUUGCAGAAUUCAGUGAAUCAUCGAAUCUUUGAACGCACCUUGCGCCCCUUGGUUAUUCCUCGGAGCAUGCCUGUUUGAGUAUCAUGAACACCUCAACUCUCAUGGUCUUCCAUGAUGAGCUUGGACUUUGGGGGUUUGCUGGCCUCGUGGCCGGCUCCUCUCAAAUGAAUCAGCUUGCCAGUGUUUGGCGGCGUCACGGGUGUGAUAACUAUCUACGCUCGUGGUCGUCCACCAGGUAACCCUCAGCAAUGAAGGUUCAUUGGGGCUCAUAAACGUCUCUCCCCAGCGAGGACAACUUUUGAACGUUCGAUCUCAAAUCAGGUAGGACUACCCGCUGAACUUAAGCAUAUCAAUAAGCGGAGGAAAAGAAACUAACAAGGAUUCCCCUAGUAACUGCGAGUGAAGCGGGAAGAGCUCAAAUUUAAAAUCUGGCGUGCCUUUGGUCGUCCGAAUUGUAGUCUGGAGAAGCGUUUUCCGUGCUGGA
rnacentral:rRNA from 1 species